UUCCUAGGGUCAUGAUGAAGUCCAGUGGAGUGUGUUGGGGUAAGAAACAAUGAAAUGGCUGCCCUGGGUGCCCUCCUUCAGUGGAAGAUCUGGGAGGAGAAAUGACUUAACAACUUAACUUUCAGAUCCUGAAUGCAGUACUAGCUGAAUAUGUACUCUGCUCAGAUGAGAACAAGGAUUUUCUUGGAAGAGCUGGCUUAUUGUUUGAUUCAGACAAAGAGUGCCUUAUCUGGAAAUGACCAGAACAUCAUUGGAAGUGAAUUUGGAUCUUAUUCGCUUUCAGAGAGAAUGUUUCUAGCUACUGAUUUGGGUAUUAUUCUAUCUCAAGAACUAAAAUGCCCAUCUUCCCAUGAGUGGGAGAAGAUAAUGAAUGCUCCAAAGAAAUCUUUAACAAAUCAGGAUUGAAGAUCAUUUAAAACAAGCUGGCAUAUUAAAACAAUAAAUGACAUUACACUAAUAAGAUGGGGAGGCAGUGAAAACUGCCCCUUUGUGCCUAGUAACUGCUACACAUCAUGUU